AUCAGGGGCACAUGACUAUUGUUGCAAAACCGGGCUUGAAAUUGGAAAUUCCAGAUGGAGUUGUGAUUGAGAAUAAGGAGAUCAACGACAUUGCAGAUAUCCAAGAAUGAAUGGUUCACCAAUGUUGAGGGGUAUUUGUUUCUAAUGAAUAGGUGACUCCAGAUGCUUUGAUUUGCAGUGCAAUAAAGUUACAAAGCUCGCCAUCAGUUAGCUUUUCUAUUUACUGGGAACCGAAAGGUUGAAGAAACAAAUAACAAGUUUUGGAAGCGCCAUAACAGUGAUGAAAUAAUUGUCUCUACUCACUUAUUUGACCUUGUAGCUUUUUAGCUUUUAGAUAAAAAAAAGGCUUGAUGCUGAGAUAAUGAAUAAAAAAGUAAAAGUGAUUGUUUUCCUUGAUACUACAUAGUCUCAUCAAUUGUUUACUGUACAACGAGUUGGAGCACGGAGCAGACAUUUUUUCAUCCUAUUUAAUUGGAGGUAUUAUAUUCGGCAUUGACUUAUUGUUA